GAUGAACGCUGGCGGCGUGCUUAACACAUGCCAGUCGAACGGUGAACACGGAGCUUGCUCUGUGGGAUCAGUGGCGAACGGGUGAGUAACACGUGAGCAACCUGCCCCUGACUCUGGGAUAAGCGCUGGAAACGGCGUCUAAUACUGGAUAUGUGACGUGACCGCAUGGUCUGCGUUUGGAAAGAUUUUUCGGUUGGGGAUGGGCUCGCGGCCUAUCAGCUUGUUGGUGAGGUAAUGGCUCACCAAGGCGUCGACGGGUAGCCGGCCUGAGAGGGUGACCGGCCACACGGGGACUGAGACACGGCCCAGACUCCUACGGGAGGCAGCAGUGGGGAAUAUUGCACAAUGGGCGCAAGCCUGAUGCAGCAACGCCGCGUGAGGGAUGACGGCCUUCGGGUUGUAAACCUCUUUUAGCAGGGAAGAAGCGAAAGUGACGGUACCUGCAGAAAAAGCGCCGGCUAACUACGUG
rnacentral:rRNA from 1 species